AUUGAACGCUGGCGGCAUGCCUUACACAUGCAAGUCGAACGGCAGCGCGGGGCAACCUGGCGGCGAGUGGCGAACGGGUGAGUAACAUAUCGGAACAUACCCUAGAGUGGGGGAUAACGUAGCGAAAGUUACGCUAAUACCGCAUACGCACUAAGGUGGAAAGUGGGGGAUCUUCGGACCUCAUGCUCAUGGAGUGGCCGAUAUCUGAUUAGCUAGUUGGUGAGGUAAAGGCUCACCAAGGCGACGAUCAGUAGCUGGUUUGAGAGAACGACCAGCCACACUGGAACUGAGACACGGUCCAGACUCCUACGGGAGGCAGCAGUAGGGAAUAUUGGUCAAUGGGGGCAACCCUGAACCAGCCAUGCCGCGUGCAGGAAUAAGGCCCUAUGGGUCGUAAACUGCUUUUGAACGGGAGAAAUCUAUUUACGUGUAAAUAGUUGACGGUACCGUUAGAAUAAGGAUCGGCUAACUUCGUGCCAGCAGCCGCGGU
rnacentral:rRNA from 1 species